rnacentral:rRNA from 1 species
AAGGGCACCACAAGAACGCGUGGAGCAUGUGGCUUAAUUUGACUCAACGCGGGAAAUCUUACCGGGUCCGGACACACUGAGGAUUGACAGGCAAUAUUAAUACGUCAGUUCGCCGUGUAUUAUGUUAAAUAUGCUAGUCCUUUCAUGAUUAUGUGAUAGGUGGUGCAUGGCCGUUCUUAGUUCGUGGAGUGAUCUGUCUGCUUAAUUGCGUUUCACUAAGGGCCUAUAAUUUUACGUGUGUUGCAGCACUUUGACCCCUUCAGCAAUGAGCGCGCGUCUUAGUUUGCUUGCUCGCACAAUUAGGUCCUGAAAGCAACGAACGUGACCGCAACCUCUUGUUGCCUUUAUACCAACAUGUUUUGUUUAUGUCUUUAUANNUNUUCAUGAAAAAAGGCUUUUAAACUAGAGGGACCGCUGUUACUUUCUUAAACCCAGAGGAAGGUUGCGGCAAUAACAGGUCUGUGAUGCCCUUAGAUGUUCCGGGCUGCACACGUGCUACAAUGAUUAUUGCAGUGAGCAUCUCAUUUUUACACACCGCAUGCGCGAGUCUAUUUAUUCGUGUUCGCACGUUUUAAAUAUGUAUUUCUGCGCGCGGUAAAGCCUGCUUCGAAAGUAAGUGGGUAAUCAAUUAGAAGUAAUGAUUUCCUUUUUUUUAGCACACAUAUAUACGGCGUCUAUGCCCGGGCUGCCUUGUUGUAGCUUUUGUGCGUAUAGAUGUUUUUUCCGUAUGUGCGAUUGUCAAUUCAUGGUGGGGACAGACCAUUGUUAAUUGUUGGUCUCGGUCUUAACUAGGAAUGCCUUGUACGGGUCUUUGGUUCAACAAACCACCCGGAAUACGUCCCUGCCCUUUGUACACACCGCCCGUCGCUCUUACCGAUGGACUUCUCUGUGAGUUUGAGGGACUGGGAACGCAGAUUUAUCUGCACACCUAUGGAAACUUAAACGAACAGUGUGGUCUAAAGGAAAGAGAAGUCGUAACAAGGCAUCGGUAGGUGAACCUGCAGAAGGAUCA